rnacentral:rRNA from 1 species
AUGAACGCUAGCUACAGGCUUAACACAUGCAAGUCGAGGGGCAGCAUGGUCUUAGCUUGCUAAGGCCGAUGGCGACCGGCGCACGGGUGAGUAACACGUAUCCAACCUGCCGUCUACUCUUGGACAGCCUUCUGAAAGGAAGAUUAAUACAAGAUGGCAUCAUGAGUCCGCAUGUUCACAUGAUUAAAGGUAUUCCGGUAGACGAUGGGGAUGCGUUCCAUUAGAUAGUAGGCGGGGUAACGGCCCACCUAGUCUUCGAUGGAUAGGGGUUCUGAGAGGAAGGUCCCCCACAUUGGAACUGAGACACGGACCAGACUCCUACGGGAGGCAGCAGUGAGGAAUAUUGGUCAAUGGGCGAGAGCCUGAACCAGCCAAGUCGCGUGGAGGAAGACUGCCCUACGGGUUGUAAACUCCUUUUACCUGGGAAUAACGGGCGCUACGCGUAGCGCUGUGCAUGUACCGGGAGAAUAAGCAUCGGCUAAUUCCGUG